GGACUUAGUUUGACGGGGUAAAUAUGCGAUCAAGAAAUUUUUACUUGGAAGGAAUGGCCUCUGAUGCACUUCAGAAAGGUACCUACCAAAGGUCGACCUAAGUGGUUGAGCCUACUUAUAAUUUGUGAAAAUAGGGCUUUGCCUUUCGCGUUCCCGUA
rnacentral:snRNA from 1 species